ACAAUGGAAUGUGAAGUCUUUUGUAAAGGACACUUGUGGUGAGCAAAAGAUGCACAUGGAGACUUCCUAGAGGAGGUGUGAGUACAGCUGGGUCCUGAGAGACCACACCACAUUUGUAGUAGGGUUGGGGACUGGCACUUCCGGGGCAAUGAGGAGACCACAUCAAAGGGAGCCCAGGGAAUGCUGUGGGUCAAGGUCUAGGAUAAGGAGUACAUCGUCUAGGAGACAGAGCCAGGGAUGGUGCAUGAAUAUGGGCAGUCUUUGGAUGUGCUAAAAUCCAGGUUGAAGAGCUGGCUGUGGUACUGUAUCAGUAAUCCCAGCUCUCAGGAGGCUGAGGCAGGAGGGUUACCAAGACUGGGAGGCCAGUUUGAGCUACAUACUGAGUUUAGGACCAGCAUGAACUGUGUAGUAAGCACUUGUGUCAAAAAUGUGUGUGCAUGUGUGUGUGCCAGAAUGGUACAAGUACCAUUCUGGUAAGGGUGAGGUUGUGAGUUUGAUCCCUGGUACAAAGAAAAGAAAAAAAAAAGUGUGUGUGUGUGUUCUGGGGAGCUAUAAUGAUUGAAGGACUUCAGGACCUAUUAAAGUAUGGAGAUAGGGCACAUCUCAAACCCUGAGACCUUAUUCUAGAAUUAGUAGAGUUUCAAACUCUAUCUAUAGCUGAGUUCAUGGUCUUGUGACCAAAGGCAUAGCCGGCCCUUCCUGGACCCAGUCUUUUUUUUUUUUUUUUUGUACUGGGGAUCGAACUCAUGACCUCAUACUUGCCAGGCAGGUGCUUAUGCUGCUGAGCUAAACCCCCAGCCCCCCAGCCUUCUUAAUCAGUGCCAUGGAGUACUUUCUAGCAUCAGUCAGUGUCUUGGUUACUUUCUUAUUGCUGAGAUGAAACAGCCAGCACCCACAAAGGAGGAGAGGUUUGUUUUUCUUUUUCUUUUGUUUUUUGGUACUGGGAAUCAAACUCAUGACCUCACAGUUCCUAGGCAAGUGCUUAAGCGGCUGAGCUAAAUCUCCGGCCCUGGAGAGAUUUGGCCUCAUAGCUUGAAGAAGUUCCAGUCCAAAGUUCAUUGGUUCUCAGGCAGGGUGGCAUGGCAGAGGGGCACGACAAGGAGAAACCACCCAUGCCGUGGCAGGCAGGGAGCAGCAGUCUUCCACCUGCUUGUUCUUUUUAUCCCAUGCAGGCUAUAAGCCUAUUGGUUGGUGCCACAGGGUGGGUCUUCCAGUUUUAGUAAAUCCACUCCAUUAUACCCCAAACUAUGCUAAGCCCAUCAGUGGGCUAAUCCAGUACCAUACACCCAUGAUCCAGUCACUUGCAAAAGCCCACCUAUGAGUGCAUGAGGCUUUUGGGGAACAUCAAGAUAUGAGCCAUAAUAACUAGCCAAGGUUCCUGAGGCUCCAAGGAUCAGGAGGGGCUACAAUUUUGGUGCCUUUCACUCACCUCCCUACUGGCCCACCUUUCUUCUCCUAUUGCUCGACCCACACCCCCCUUACCCCUGACCUGGUGGCCAGCAGCCUCUGCUGCUAUCAUCCGUUGUCAUGGAAACCUUGCAGCUCUGACCUGGUACUGGCCUGGAGCUCCUAGCAGGGGAAGCCAAAGGUAGCAGGGGCAGAUGCAGGUGCCUGUUUCUGCCAGCAUGGCUUCCUCUUGGGAAGCGGGAAUGGGCAGGAUGACCAGGAUGGGGUGGGCUGGGGUACAGAGGGCCAGGCCUUGGCACUCCCAGUCUCUCCUCAGCUCCACCCUUCCUCAACCCAGCUUCGGGCUUUUGGUGGGAGGGAGGAAGAUGGGGACCUUCCCAUUUCCCUCAGUGCUGAUGGGAGCUUGAAGCCCUGAGCUCAGCUCAUUCUUGAGGCUAAAAAUACCAGGGAGGCGGCAGCAGCAGUUCCCUCGACACCCCGUCCACCGUCCCCCCUGCCCCCAGCAACACACACACACACACACACACACACACACACACACACACACACAGGCCCAGUUUAGGCCAGGCUGUGCCAUUUAACAUCCAAGUUUCAAAGUCCCUCCUCUCAGUGACCUGGGCUAGUUGGAAGACCUGAGUUUCAUUUCCACAUCUGACUAGCUAUUUUGUCUUGGGGUAGUUCAUUGGCUUCUCUGGGCCUUGAUUUCCCUUUUUGUAUAAUUAGAGAGCUACAUAGCUGGGGAUUUGGCUCAGCAGUAUAUGCACCUGUAUGGCGAGCACGAGAUCGUGAGUUUGAUCCGCGGUACCAAAAAAAAAAAAAAAAGAAAAAGAAAAAAAAAUUAGAGAGCUACAUGGAAGAGGGGAGGUUCAGGAACGGAGCAGGUCAAAGCCCUGGCUGACCCAUAUCCACUAUAGCAGGGCUGACAGCGCUCUGAGCUGCUCAUGCACUGGGUCAGAAUCUCCUUUUUCUAGAUAAGCACACGGAGGCUGGAGAGGCAAGGGUAGCUCAGGCUUUGGGUUCCAAAUUGGCCCUUUCUUGUUGUGAAGAGGCCAUGAAUUUCUGGAGCCACCAGACAUUUGUUACAAAGUAGAUCUGGGGCCAAGCAUGGUGGCAUGUGCCUGUCAAUCCCAGCAUUCAGGAGGCUGAGACAGGAGGAUCACCAUGAGUUCAAAGUCACCCUGAACUACAUAUUGGGACUGGGUUCAAAAACAAACAGCAACAAAAUAAAACAAAAAGCCAGUAGUGGUGGCAUGUGCCUGUAAUCUCGGCACUCUCAGAGGCUGAAGCAGGAGGAUUUCAAGUUGGACAGCAGCCUGGGAAAUUUAGUGAUUUAGUGAGAAUUUAUCUCCAAAAAUAAAAAAUAAAUUUAAAAAGCUGAAUAUGAGCUGGGCGUGGUGGCUCAUGCCUGUAAUCCCAGCACUCGGGGAGCUGAGGCGGGAGGAUUGGUGUGAGUUCGAGACCAGCCUGAGCUACAAAGUGAGCUCAAGGCCUGCAUAGGGAGACCCUCUCUCAAAAAGAUUUUUUAAAAAAGCUGAAUAUGGGGGGCUGGGGAUUUAGCGUAGUGGCAUAAGCGCCUGCCUUACAAGUGUGUGGUCGUGAGUUUGAUCCCUGGUUCUGAUAAAAAAAGAAAAAGACAAAAAAAAUGUUAAAAAAAAAAAAAAGCUGAAUAUGGAGCCCAGGGAUUUAGCUGAGAGUCACAAGGGCCUGCCUGGCAAGCACAAGGUCAUAAGUUCAAUUCCAGGUACCAAAAAAAAAAAAAAAAAAAAUUGCUGAGUAUGUAGCUCAGUGUAAAGGCCUUGAGUUAAAUCCCCAGGACCACUAAAUGAACAAAUAAAUGAGACUGACUUCAUCUUGGGGCUGGUGAAGGAAAAGCUGGAGUUGCAUGAAAUUUCUAGGACCCUCCUGGAGGUACCAGGGAAAUCUACCCUUGAAAUCACAGCCACCGGGUACACGGAAGUCUGAAAGGUCAGACUUUGGGGGCCCAUUACUGUGGUACCCAAGCCACUAGCUCCCUAGUUCUCGUCACUAGCCCAGAGACAUCUUAAAAGCCACAGACAUCCUUCUCCACAGACCCAAGCUCUCAAAGUCCAGAGUUGACAGCUGCAGGAACAGCACAUGGGCCCUCUAACAACACUGCCCAGUCCUGCAGGACAGCAGACUUGGAGUCAUAUCCUUAAGCUGACAAGGCCAGCACUUACCUUCAGUUGCUGUGUGACUGGGAAAAACACUUUAUCUUUUGAGACUUUCAGUUUUUCCAAGUGUAAAACAGGUGUUUAAUAGUAUUUGUCUAGCUGGAAUGGUGCACCCCCGUAUUCUUACCAAUGGGGAGGAUGAGGCAGGAGGAUCAUCAUGAGUUGGAGACCAGCCUGGACUACAUAAUGAGAUCAAAGUCGCCCUCAACUACACAGCAAGACCCUGUCUCAAAAAGACAAAGACAAACAGCAACAUUAACAACAACAAAUCUGUCGGUAAGGGUAAAUAUAAAGAUGAAUUGAGAUACUCUCAUAAAAUAUGUGGCAGAAUAAUUGUUAUUUCUGGAGGCUGGCAGGAAAGAAGCAUGCUCUGAAAGACACACUGGGGGACAUUUGCUUAUUAAUUGUUCUAGUAUUGAGAACUAUGUUGGGUGCUGGAUCUUGGGCCCUAACAUUCCAGUUGGAGUCCCCUACUCUAACCUAGGGGCCUUCUCCAAAAGAGAAACAAUGCUCAUUAGUUGUUUGAAUAUGUUUUCAGUUCACGAAUGGAUGCUUGUAGGUAAAACAUUAAUAAACGGCAUCAAGUUGGUGGGGAAAAUUAAAUGUAAAUUAGAUAAUUAAAAAUGAAGCUGAUGCCCGCUGCUUGGUGCUAUUACCUCUUAUUAAAAGUUAUGAGAGGUGGCCUGGGUGGGGGCGGGGCCACAAAGGGCUGGCACCUGGAGCUAGGUUUGGAAGAGGGAGACUACGGCAAGCGUUUGGGCCUAAAUUCUGCCUGUCCCUGGUCUCUGGGUCAGUACCUUCCUCUUGCAGUGCCUUAAUGCUUCUUCAUCUGUACAAAAGAGGUAACAGCAGAAUCUACCACAUAAAACUGUGGCAAGGAUUAGAUUAAAAUGUCUAGCGUGGUGGGCUGAGGCAGGAGGACUGCUGCAAUUCUGAGGCCAGCCUGGGAUACAGAGUUAAGUUCAAGGCCAGUUCCAUAGCAAGACCUGCCUCAAAACAAAAACAAACAGACAGACAAACAAACAGAAAAGGGCUGGGAUAGAGCUCAGCAGCACAGUGCCUACCUGGUAAGAGUGAGGUCAUGAAUUUGAAUCCCAGUACCAAGAAAAACAAAACAAAACAAAAAGAAAAAAAAGAAAAACAAAACAAACAGAAAAGAUAGUGUCUAUAAAGUACCCAGCGGAUACUUUGUAUCACAUAGUAGGUGAUGAUUAAAUGACCGUGACUUCUUAGCUUAUCUCAAACCGGACUGAACAGACAGUGCCUUCUGUAUAGACCACCCCUGUCAGCACAUGGGGUGGGUGGCCUUGCUUUAUCAUUCAAAGAGGAGCAGCCCUCAAAGGGGCCAGCAGUGGCACACAAUACUACUGUACUCUGCUCCUCAAUCUGAAGAGGCUUCUUGGACUCUUCUUUUUCUGCACCUGCCCUUUGUGCCAGCCCCCUGGGCUGGGUAUAGCCCUUCCUCAACCCCCAGGGGAGUCAUUCCGGAGCGCAGGAGCCUGGCCCAGCACGGAGAUCCCAAAGGAGUGUUCUAAUCAGAGCAUGGCCAUGGAAGAGCCAGCCCCGGUGUGUGUGUGGAGCCCCGGGAGGUGUGAUCUGGCUCAGUACUCCAGGAGGCUGAGCCAGUGGAGGAUGGGCCAGGCAGGUACAGGGCGGAGGAGCCCAGGCCGAGGCUGGGAAGUCCUGCGCCCGUGGUGGGCUGCGGAGGGUGCGCGCCGAGGGGGUGGGAACACGGAGCGGCAUUUAACAGAAGAAUAGAUAUAUGCCUCCAUCCAUAUAUACAUAUUUUAAGGAAGAAUCAACUUUGCUGGGCACUCAGGGCCCGUGUCUCUUCUUGCCCUUGCCUGUGACCUUGGCUGCUGUGAGGCCCGCUGCUGUGGCCUGGCAGAGCAGGGCAGAGCAGAGCUUGCUGAUGGAGUACAGAGCAGCCACAGAGACGAAGAAACAGUUUUCUUAUCGUGACCGCUGACGGAUGCUUAAGUUGCUUCCACCUCCUGGCCACUGUGGAUGCUCUGCUGUGAAGGGCGUGUCCAGGCAUCUCUUCGAGUCCCUGUUUUAAUUCUGUUGGGAAUAUGCCCAAAUGUGCAACUGCUGGGUCAUCUUUAAUUUUUUUGAAGAAUCAUCUUAAUGCCUUUUUUCUUUCUUCUGUCUCUCUCUCUCUCUGUCUUUUUGAGACAGAGUCUCACUAUGCAGUUUAGGCUGGCCUUGGACUCACUUUGUAGCCCAGGCUGGUCUCCAACUUGCCUGCCUCAGCCUCCCAAGUGCUGGGAUUAGAGGAGUGUGCCACCACCACAGUUGUCUCUUUUUCUUGUCUCUGUCUCUGUCUGUUUCUUUUUCUUUCUCCCUCCCUCUCUCUCUGUUUCUCUCUCUCUCUCUGAGAAAGGGCCUUUCUAUAUAGUUCAGGCCAACUUUGAACUCACUGUAUAGCCCAGGCUGGCCUCAAACUCAGGGAUUCUCCUGUCUCAGCCUCCUGGGUGCUGGAACUACAGGCAUGUGUCCCUGCAUGCAGCGUUAUUAUAGCAUUUUUCAUAGUGGUUGCACCAUUUUAUGUUUCUACCAAUAUUACAUAAGAGUUUCAGUUUUUCUAUGUCCCCACUAAUGUUUAUUUUCUCUUUCUUAGUAAAUACUCUAGUGGGUUUGAGGCCGUGUCCUCUAUGCUAUGGUUUGCAUGUCCACAAAACAUUCACAUGUGGGAAACUUAGUCCUUAGUGUGGUGGUGUUAAGAGGUGGUGGAGCCAGGUAUAGUGAUACUUGGCUGUAAUCCCAUCACUCUAGGAAGCUGAGACAGGAGGAUCAUGACUUUGAGCCCAGCCUGGGCCACUUAGGGAUUUGUUGAGCCCCCCCAUCUAAAAAUAAAAAAUAAAAGAUUGAGGGACAUAACAAAGGCCUUGGGGUCAGUCCCCCCAUAUAAUUUUAUUUUAUUUUAUCUUUGUCUUCGUGAGUCAGUUUCAUUAUGUAAUCCAUGCUGGCCUCGAACUCAUGUAACCCAGACUGACCUCGAACUUGCAGUGAUUCUCUUCCCUCGGCCUCCCAAGUGCUGAGAUUAUAGGAGUGCACCACCGAGCCUGAUAUCUAUAUCUAUAUCUAUAUCUAUAUCUAUAUCUAUAUCUAUCUAUCUAUCUAUCUAUCUAUCUAUCUAUCUAUAUAAAAUGUUUUUAACUGGGUCUCAAACCCAGGGCCUUAUGUGUGCUACCAGGCAACUACUCUACAAUUGACACCCCCCAGCCCCUCAGGGUUUUGUUGUAGCCAUGGAAAAUGGACUCACACAUCAUUGUAGCGUUUAUUCCAUUUCCCUAAUGAUGAGGGUACACAUUUGGAAGGCAACACACUUUGUGGGAGUGGAGGGAGAGGAGCCUCUUAGCUCCAGGGUCUCAAAGGACUUUAGGAGACUGUAUUUGGAUAGCGGCCCAGGGGCAGUGAGGCAGCCCGUAUGAGUGCGCGGUGUCAAGGCCCAGAAGCUCGAGGUGAGUGUUUUUCUGGAGAUCAGUGAGUAGGUGGCCGUGGGUUGGUGCUGGUGGGUGCCAGGGUUUGAGAGGUGGGUCGGGCUGGGUGAUGCAGGGAUUUAGGCUAUGGAAAGGUCUUUGGGUUUUAGCAGAAUGGACAGGCAGUGAGGUCACUGUGUGGCGGGGCUCUGGUAUUUAUGGGGUGCACACAGGGGCAGCAACAGUGUGUACCCGGAGACUCCCAGCAUCCCAGGAUCUUGAUGUGAUUGCUAAGAAUCCCUGCCUCUGGGCCAUCUGCCGCCCCAGCCAGUGAGGCUCCCUGGUUCCUAUGAACGGUCUGGGGCCAGCGGGAAGGCUCUUUAGGCCAGAUGUCCUCAAAGGUCUGGGGACGGGGCUUGUCAGCUUGAGACCCGGAGAGGGAUCCACGCCUAGACAGGGAGCAGCGGCUUCAGGGGCCGCUGGGGAGCGAGCGGGGCGCCUGCAGUACCCGGAAGGGCCGCACGAUGGCAGGUGUGGACAGGGAGUGGGGAGUGGGGAGCUGGAGAGGGCGAUGGCUGAGGGCGACCUUCUGCGGGGCUCCGGGGUUAGUUUGAAUUUCUGCCUCCGGUAGCUGUGUGUGAGAAGAAAAUGAAGUCAUCUCAUGUCACAGCAUAUUCUCCCGGGCCCGGAGAAGUAGAGCCAUUUGCCCAAGAUCACCAGCAGGGGGAUGCAGGCCUAUCUGCUGGGGCUGCCAGCUUUCACUGCUGCCGCGCUUCCCCCAAUGAACGCACCUGGGGGACUACCUGUGUCCUUUUGUCUCCUGGCCUCAUCUUGUCUCUCUGAUCAGAGGACCCACCCUCCUGCCCCCGUCCACAUGGCCAGAAAAGCCCCGGAGAGAGCUGGCACUUGAGACUCUUUGCUAAGGCCCUGAAGAGUCUCGUGCAGUUCAGACUGGCCUUGGACUUACUAUGUAGCCCAGGCUGGACUUGAAUUUGAGAUGAUCUUCCUGUUCCAGCCUCCAGGUGCUAGAAUCACAGGCGUGUGCCACUGCAUCCAGCAGAAAUGAUGCUAUCUGGUCUGGGAGGCCAAAAGUCCACUCGAGCAUCUUCACUGGACCUCAGAGACUUUUGCUGCAUUUUCUUGGCCAGCCUGGAAAUCCCCUCGCUGGUCCUCCUGACAGUGGGCUGCCCAUUUUGCUGGCACAGCUCCUGUGACGAGGAGGUCACUGCUCCAUUGUAUGGUGGUUUUAGGGAAGCUGAGCUGGCUGGUGGUGCUGCAUGGCUGUGGGAACCGGCCAGCCCUGAGCCUCACAGAGCAAGUAGCCUCUGCUGCAUGCAGGCCAGAGGAGUCUGCAUGUCCCCCUCCCUGUCUCCCAUAAACAAGGUUUCCAGCACCUCAUCAGCUGGGCAACUCGCCACUGGGUGCAUUGUGGUUGGGACUGGCUCCUUCUGUGGUGAUAGUUUUUCUCAAUACAUAAGACAAUACAUUGUCACGGGGAAAAAAAUAUCCCGGUUCUCACCACCCAAAGAUAAUCCCCGCUCCAGGUCACUUUUCUUGAGCUGACACCCAUGCAUGUGUUAAAAUACAAGGCACAGAAGAGUGUGAUGUGCAGGCUUAUAAUCCUAGCACUCCAGAGGCUGAAGCAGGAGGACUGCCAUGGGUCCAUGAGUUUAGGCCAGUCUGGGCUGCACAGUGAGUUCAAGACCUGAACUACAUAGUGAGACUCUAAAGAAAAAAAAGUGAGAGGCAAAAGCAGGAUUAGCCUGAAGCUUACAGGAUGCCUCGUAGGGUACAUAGGCAAUCUCUGUCUAAUGUAAUACCUGGAAGGGAGAUUUGGUUGUGAAACCAGCCUGUUCUGGAAGACCAGGGAUCAGCAUAAAAAGAAUGCAGUACAUCUGAUGACCGAAGAAAAUUCCCUUCCUGAAGGGUCAGGCUGGAGAUGUAGGGAGCAUUUCCCCAAGUGCUGCCUGCCAGCAGGCCUCAGCAGCCGCUGGCGCUCACCGCCUCGGCCUUCCUGCUGCUCCUGCAGAAGGGAGGGAGGAAGGCUUCAGUCCUGGCUCCCCCAGGACGCCGGGCAAAGAUCAGGGAUGCCGUGAACAUGAUCCUUACCCCACAUGUCAUCAUGUGGGAUGGUGUCAAGGUGACCCCAGAGACCUGCUUUUUAAAAAUGUUUAAAAUUUUUUCCUGCUUUUUUAAAAAACCCAAUGUAUAUGGAGGCUGUUUUUUCCACUUUGGCAAAUAUUUGUGGUGUGUGCUGCAUCUUUUCUUGGGGGGCGAAAGGGGGGGGGGCUAGGGAUGGAACUCAGGGACGCGGGUGUGCUGGGAAAGUGCUCUGCCACUUAGUCUCACUCCAGCCCUGGCUGCGCUGUUUUUUUAAAUGGCUGCAUGGUACUCUAGUGCAUCGAGAUGCAUUUUUAAAACCAGUGAGCUACUUCAGGAGAUCUGAGCCAUUCCCAUUUUUUUUGUCAUUAUAUUCAAUGUUGCAAUGAACAGUCUUGUAGCUUGUGCAUCCAUCUUCACUUUCCUCAGGAUAAAUUCCGCAGUAGAACUGCUGGAUUGGAAGGCCAGACUGUUCAAUACACGUUGAGGACACUGCUUCCAACACUGCUUCCGGAAAGGUGACCCCGCUAUGCUAUUGGCUCUCCGUGCUAACAGCUGUGCAUGCCCACUUCCCGUGCCACACCCACUGGCGACACUUUCUCCUACAUUUUUCUGUUAAGGUUGGAAAUAUUUGAAAAAAUUGAAAAAGUUUCACAGUAAGCACCCAUAUAGCCACCGCCCAGAUUUUACAAUUUGUAGUGUAUUAGCUUUAUCAUUAUCUUUCAAUUUAUUUUCUUUUUUGAAUGACAUCAAAGCAACCUCCAGAUAUCAAUGUAUUUUGCCAUCCAAACACUUCAACAUGUAUCUUAUUAACUGAAGUUCAAUACUUUGGCAUGGUUGUUUUUUCUUUUUCCCCAGGACUGAGGAUUGAACCUAGGGCUUUGUGCAUGCCAGUGCUUUAUCACCAAGCCUCAUAUUGGUUGGUUCUUUUUUCUAUUCCCUCCUCCUCCGCCUCCUUUUCGUUUUUUUUAAAGACAAGCUGUGUUGCCCAGGCUGGUCUUGAAUUCCUGGGCUCAAUGGAUCCUCCUGCCUCAGACUCUCAAGUAGCUAGGACUACAAAUGUGCAACCACUUCACCUGGCCAGUUCUUUGUUUGAGUCAAAAUAUAUCACAAUGAAAUGCACUGUGGUCAUUAACUGUGUCACGUCAAUGUGACGAGUAAAAACUGCCUAGCAGAUUAGUAAAUUCUGGGUGUGUCUGUGGAUGAUUGACAUGUAGGCCAACAAACGGAGGGAGAAGACCCACCCCAGAUGCGGAUGGCACCAACCAAUAAGUUUGUAGUUUGGACAGACUAAAAAGGGAGAAAAGAAGGAAGUGACCCCUUUUGCUUGAAGAGCUCCAGCCUUUGAACGUUGAUCUGCAGUUUCUUCGGGUUCUAACUCAGACCCACACCAGAUACUCUAUAGCGAGCUUCCAGGACUUUGAUCUCCCACAGCGAAUAGAUCCGGCCGUCGAAGUGCCAGACGGUUAUUCCGGGUUCUUCCACCUCUGCGCCUGCAGAUGGCUGUCGUGACUUUCGCCUGUGAUCCUCUAAGCCCGCUUAAUAAAUCUCUCUGUGGAAUUAUA